GGAGGCGCAGUCCGGCGCCUGGCAGGAAGGAAGCCGGUGUGGUGAGCGGGGGGCCUCUGAGCAGAAUCCGCCCCCAUUCGCAAAGAGCCUCCUCAGGGGCGGCCGCUCCCUGUCCUUUGGGCAGCCGGAGGUCCCUCUGUCGCCUAGAGGCUGUGGAGGCAGCAGGAUCUGCUGAAAGCGCUUUGGUGUCAGCGGUUUACCAGGCACAACCGAAGCACGGAGAAGCCACAGCGGGGAGUGGGGAUGCUGAGUACACGGGCCUCUCACUGUUGUGGCCUCUCCUGUUGUGGAGCACAGGCUCCGGACGUGCAAGCUCAGCGGCCAUGGCUCACGGGCCCAGCCGCUCCGCGGCAUGUGGGAUCUUCCCGGACCGGGGCACGAACCCGUGUCCCCUGCAUCGGCAGGCAGACUCUCAACCACUGCGCCACCAGGGAAGCCCCCCACUAAUGAACUUGAUGAUGUAUGUAUUGACUCUGAGGAGCUACCCCCUCUGAGCCGCAGGAGCAUGGUUGGGGGCCUGCAUCCUCUCCAGGCCCUCCCCCGAAUCCUGGCAGGGAUGCCGGCUCCAGGCAGGAACUCCUGCGACACAUCCACACCCUCCAAUUGCCCCUUCGGUGCUACUCACACAGCACCCAGGGCUCCUGGUGACCCUCAGAGUGUCUUAAUGCCACACCCCCAGCUGAGGACAAGGCCUUGGGGGCCCUGCUUGUUGCAGGCCAGGCCAACCUUUCAUCACCCAGGGGCUGAGUGGGAAGCAGACCUGGGCUCAAACCCUUCUCUGCCCCACUGGGUGGUCGGGUGGGGACCCAGUUUCUCCAUCUGUGUCUGGUACACAGGUAGCUCCGUGCUAGGAGGUGGGAGAUGCCUAGGCCAGGGAGUCAAGUUUGGGGGACUUUUAGCUAACAGCCCCCCUUCAAGUCAGAUUUGGUCACUCACCCUUAGAAGCUCCUUGGCGGCAUCCCCAUGACUGCAGUGGCACCUGAGUUCUCCUUCCCUGGCUUCCAUGCCAAGCCUUUCCUGCCCAAUCCCAUGGUGCCUUUGCCUUUCCUGUGUCUUCCUUUGGGUACUGUGUCUGCCCCUACCCACUUAGGCCUGGCUGGCCCUCAGCACCAUGUCAGCAGCCAGGCUGCACUUGGGGGCUGUGUCCUACCAUGAACACAUGGCCCUGGGGCCCCACCACGUCGCCCCACCCCAGGAGCAUCCCCAGUUGGACUCCCCUGUGGGCCCAGACAGGAGGGGGAAUCCUGCUGCCUCUGAGAGGGGUUGGCUGGACCAGAAGGCCUCCUGCUGUCCAAGCCCAGAUGACACCAUGGGGAGCUCCUGGCCCGCCCGUCAGCCCCCUCACAUGCAGCACCAACUUUCAUCGGUGCUGGGUCCCCCGGCCUCGUGCUCCUACAUCAUCCAGGCCACUGUUGCUCGGCCUGGAAAUCCUUCUCGAGGGGGUGAAAACAGGGUCAGCGUGCCAGCCAGUGCCCGGCGUCUGCGUGAAGGUCUCAGAGCAGCUUGUGUUCACAGAAACAGACCCAGUCUGUGUGGCGGGUCACAGCUGGGCGGGGAGCAGAGUUCCAGUGUUUAUUAUCGUACAUAUAUAUAUUUCAUGUGUAUACACAGAUAGUUUUCUCUCUUAGAAGUAUUAAAAAAUUGAUCAACCUUCAAUCUAUAAAAAA